AUAACCCCGGGAAACUGGGGAUAAUACCCCAUAGACUAUGAAUGCUGGAAUGCUUUGUAGUUGAAAGGUCCGCCGCCAUAGGAUGGGUCUGCGGCCGAUUAGGUUGUUGUUGGGGUAACGGCCCAACAAGCCUGUAAUCGGUACGGGUUGUGGGAGCAAGAGCCCGGAGAUGGAUUCUGAGACACGAAUCCAGGCCCUACGGGGCGCAGCAGGCGCGAAAACUUUACAAUGCGGGAAACCGUGAUAAGGGAACUCCGAGUGCCCGUAAAAUCGGGCUGUCCAUCUGUUUAAAUAACAGGUGAAGAAAGGGCCGGGCAAGACCGGUGCCAGCCGCCGCGGUAAUACCGGCGGCUCGAGUGGUGGCCACUAUUACUGGGCUUAAAGCGUUCGUAGCUGGUCUGUUAAGUCUCUGGGGAAAUCUACUGGCUUAACCAAUAGGCGUUUCAGGGAUACUGGCAGACUAGGGACCGGGAGAGGUGAGAGGUACUCCAGGGGUAGGAGUGAAAUCCUGUAAUCCUUGGGGGACCACAUGUGGCGAAGGCGUCUCACCAGAACGGCUCCGACAGUGAGGGACGAAAGCUGGGGGAGCAAACCGGAUUAGAUACCCGGGUAGUCCCAGCCGUAAACGAUGCGCGUUAGGUGUAUCGAUGACCACGAGUCAUCGAGGUGCCGAAGAGAAAUCGUGAAACGUGCCGCCUGGGAAGUACGGUCGCAAGGCUGAAACUUAA
rnacentral:rRNA from 1 species